CCGCGCAUGCGCCGCGGGACCGGUUUGUCACAGUUGUAGCGGUUUUUUUUUUUCUCCUUGAGUGUCGGCGUGUGGGAGAAGCGCGGCGCUCUCGGAGGAGAUGCGCUCGGGGGCAGCCAUCAGGGUCUGCCAGAAGAUCUUCAGGUGUCUGUUCUCCGGGUUUGGGGGUCGAGUAGACGAGGGGCAGCCGGAGCGGUGGACGGACAGGUGCUCCUUGGAAGAGCACCUGGGCCCGCACGCGGAGGCGCUCGGGGACGCCGAGGCGGGGGCCGAGGCGCGGGGCGAGGCGCUGCUGGAGCUCUGUCAGAAGAGGCAUUUCCUCAGUGGAACCCAGCCGCAGCUUAGCCGCGAUGCUCUGCUGAACGGCAGCCACCCCGGCUUUGGACCUUUGGGCGUGGAGUUGCGGAAGAACCUGGCGGCGGAAUGGUGGUCCUCGAUGGCGGCGUUCCGGGAGCAGGUCUUCGCGGUGGACGCCCUCCACCACCAGCCCGGCCCGACGCCGCCCGGGGACCCGGCCUUCGGGUUCGUCUCUGCAGAAACUGUACGUGAAAUCUUGCAAGACAAAGAGCUGAGUAAGGAGCAGCUAGUAGCGUGUCUUGAGGACUUAGUAAAAACUUCUGGCAAACUGCGUAAGAAUCUUCUGCACGGUGCCUUGGAGCACUAUGUUAAUUGCCUGGAUCUGGUAAACAGAAGGCUACCUUAUGGCCUUGCUCAGAUUGGAGUGUGCUUUCAUCCUGUUUCUGAUGCUAAGCAGAUCCUUAAUGGUAUUAAAAGAAUUGGUGAGAAGACCGAAGCUUCACUGGUAUGGUUUACUUCCCCAAGGACUUCAAGCCAGUGGCUUGAUUUCUGGUUGCGUCAUCGGCUCCUAUGGUGGAGAAAGUUUGCCAUGAGUCCAUCUAACUUCAGCAGCAGCGAUUGUCAGGAUGAAGAGGGACGGAAAGGAAGCAGACUUUACUACAAUUUUCCCUGGGGAAAGGAGCCAAUAGAGACCCUGUGGAAUCUAGGAGAUCAAGAACUUUUGCACAUGUAUCCUGAAAAUACGUCUAAAUUACACGGCCGAGAUGGGCGGAAAAAUGUGGUUCCUUCCGUUCUGUCUGUAAAUGGGGAUCUGGACCGUGGCGUGUUGGCUUACCUCUACGAUUCUCUCCAGCUCACUGAGAAUUCCUUUGCAAGGAAGAACGCCCUUCAUAGAAAGGUCCUUAAGCUUCACCCUUGUUUAGCCCCUAUUAAGGUUGCUUUGGAUAUGGGAAGAGGCUCCACAGUGGAACUAAGACAGGUUUGUCAAGGGCUAUUUAAUGAGUUACUAGAAAGUGGAAUUUCAGUGUGGCCUGGCUAUCAAGAGACUGUGCAUUCCUCAAUGGAGCAACUUUAUUCAAGGUAUGAUGAAAUGAGUGUCCUUUUCACAAUCUUGAUUACGGAGACCACGCUGGAGAACGGCUUAGUGCACCUGAGAAGCAGAGACACCACCAUGAAGGAAAUGAUGCACAUAGCCAAACUAAAGGACUUUCUAACCAAGUAUAUAUCAACGGCUAAAAACGUUCCUCAGGUACCUCCAGAUAGCCAAGGAGGAGAAUGGACACAUGUAUACUGAUCAAUAGCAGAAGAGGCCAAGCUGCUGGAGGAGCUAGGGAUGCUAGGCGGGGAUGAUGAAGGGCAAGAUGGAGCCCUGGGAGGAACAAGAGGAUGCCCUUUUCUUCCGUAUAGAAAAGAUAGGCCGUCAGGAUCCAUCGCCAAGCUGGAGGAGAAGUAGGGACUGAUGUUGCAAGCCUGUGGGUUGCCUGAGGACAGGUAAGGUCCUUCCAGGAAAGGAUUUUAUCUUCACCUCCGGUAGCACUGGCUUUCCUCUUAUCUGUGACCCUGUGGCUCUGGGGCAGUCCCUGACCUGCUCUUGCUUUCUGUGUCCUACCAGGUUUAGUGGAAAUCCGUCCUUUCUGCCGAGGACCAAGGGAAAGUGACAAGGGGUGAGGCCCAGGUAGUGUUGACAAAUGCACACCCAGGGGGUCACACUAGAAAGGAAACCAGUGAUUCUGAUACUCAAGGAGCUGAGUCGGGGACAGAGCUAUAAUCUCAAAGACAUGGGAAGGACUUCCAGCUUCCAGCAAUGUCCCAUCUGCCCCUGUGGUAGAUUGGUGGUUUCCCAGUCUAAUCUAUUAAAAUAUGUACUUACGUUUGUGCAUU